rfam:Trichobilharzia regenti genome assembly, scaffold: TRE_scaffold0028494
GUACUGAUGAAGAGUCCAAAACUAGGACGAAACAGCCGUCCAGUAC